rnacentral:rRNA from 1 species
GUAAAAGGUAAAAUUCAUGGCCCGUAGCCAGCCAAACUAAAGCGAAAGCCUUCGUCCAUGCAUGUUUUCAUUGCCCAUGAGCGAAAGUCAGAGGCUCGAAGACGAUCAGAUACCGUCCUAGUUCUGACCAUAAACGAUGCCAACUGACGAUCCGUGGUGGUAGUAAUGUUACCUUCCCCACGGGCAGUCCCCGGGAAACCUUUAAGUGUUUGGGUUCCGGGGGAAGUAUGGUUGCAAAGCUGAAACUUAAAGGAAUUGACGGAAGGGCACCACCAGGAGUGGAGCCUGCGGCUUAAUUUGACUCAACACGGGAAAACUCACCCGGGCCGGACACUAUGAGGAUUGACAGAUUGAGAGCUCUUUCUUGAUUUGGUGGUUGCUGGUGCAUGGCCGUUCUUAGUAGGUGGAGCGAUUUGUCUGGUUAAUUCCGAUAACGAACGAGACUCCAGCCUGCUAAUUAGUGCGUUUGUCCACUGCACCUGCGUAGGUGACGUCGGAUGACACCACCUGUCACGAGGGCGUGGCUUCCACUCUUGCCUCUGCUUUUCCGCUCAAAUGCCCCCCUAGCUCCUCGUCCUCCUCCUCCUCCUCCUCCUCCUCCUUCUUCAGCGCCUCUCCCGGCUGGCUGGCUGGGCGAGGUGGUGGUGGUGGUGGUGGCGGUGAGGAUGAUGGUGAGGUUGGAGGCGGUGCAGGUGGGCGAGUGGAUUGUGGCGGAGGUGAGGGAUGGAGUCCGGCGUUUGUGGCCGGUUAGUCUGGCGUUGGCCUGCGGGUGUGGCGCGAAUGCCUACUUCUUAGAGGGACAAGCGGGAGAAGCCGCACGAAAUAGAGCAAUAACAGGUCUGUGAUGCCCUUAGAUGUCCGGGGCCGCACGCGCGCUACAAUGACGGUGUCAGCGAGUCAGACCUUCUGGCCCGAAAGGGUUGGGCAAACUGGUCAAUCACCGUCGUGACAGGGAUCGGGGCUUGGAAUUGUUCCCCGUGAACGAGGAAUUCCUAGUAAGUGCAAGUCAUAAGCUUGCGCUGAUUACGUCCCUGCCCUUUGUACACACCGCCCGUCGCUACUACCGAUUGAAUGGUUUAGUAAGGUCCUUGGAUUGGCGUCAUUGCGGCGGUGGCCGAGAGGUCACAGCCCGACGGGCGCUGAGAAGACGACCC